CGAUGAAAAAGUUAAUUAUUAUUAUUAGUUGGUUAUUGGUUGUCAUGGGUAAAGAAAAAUACCAUUUAAAAAAAAAAAACAAAAAUACCAAGGGGGGACAAGGAGACACGUUUUUACAUUUAUUUUGUUUUUCGUCCAACACUGUGCACGGACGAAACCGUGAGGGACAAUUAGUGCAGUCAAAUCUUAGCGCGGAACAAAUGUCUGUUGGAAUGUAGUGUGAUGAAUGAAAAUUAAUUUUUAAAUAUAUUUUGAUAACAUAAAGAAUGAAAAAAAAUAUGUAUCAUGUUGUAGUUGGCUAUUCGUCAAGAAGGUCGUGCAGAGCCUAAUUUAAACCGACAAUAAAUUAAAAUUUAAUUAGUUUUCAACCCCAACUUUACGAAAACGACAAAGUGGGUGUAAGAGCGGAAUGAGAUAGAGUCCCUAUUCUUAUUUAAU